UACGGGAGGCAGCAGUGGGGAAUAUUGCACAAUGGGCGCAAGCCUGAUGCAGCCAUGCCGCGUGUAUGAAAAAGGCCUUCGGGUUGUAAAGUACUUUCAGUCGUGAGGAAGGUGUUAAGGUUAAUAACCUUAGCAAUUGACGUUAGCGACAGAAGAAGCACCGGCUAACUCCGUGCCAGCAGCCGCGGUAAUACGGAGGGUGCGAGCGUUAAUCGGAAUUACUGGGCGUAAAGGGCACGCAGGCGGUUAAUUAAGUUGGAUGUGAAAUCCCCGGGCUUAACCUGGGAAUGGCAUUCAAGCUGGUUAGCUAGAGUCUUGUAGAGGGGGUAGAAUUCCAUGUGUAGCGGUGAAAUGCGUAGAGAUGUGGAGGAAUACCGGUGGCGAAGGCGGCCCCUGGGACAAAGACUGACGCUCAUGUGCGAAAGCGUGGGGAGCAAACAGGGAUUAGAUACC
rnacentral:rRNA from 1 species